rnacentral:rRNA from 1 species
GAUGAACGCUGGCGGCGUGCCUAAUACAUGCAAGUCGAGCGAACAGACGAGGAGCUUGCUCCUCUGACGUUAGCGGCGGACGGGUGAGUAACACGUGGAUAACCUACCUAUAAGACUGGGAUAACUUCGGGAAACCGGAGCUAAUACCGGAUAAUAUAUUGAACCGCAUGGUUCAAUAGUGAAAGACGGUUUUGCUGUCACUUAUAGAUGGAUCCGCGCCGCAUUAGCUAGUUGGUAAGGUAACGGCUUACCAAGGCGACGAUGCGUAGCCGACCUGAGAGGGUGAUCGGCCACACUGGAACUGAGACACGGUCCAGACUCCUACGGGAGGCAGCAGUAGGGAAUCUUCCGCAAUGGGCGAAAGCCUGACGGAGCAACGCCGCGUGAGUGAUGAAGGGCUUCGGAUCGUAAAACUCUGUUAUUAGGGAAGAACAAAUGUGUAAGUAACUAUGCACGUCUUGACGGUACCUAAUCAGAAAGCCACGGCUAACUACGUGC